GAAAAGACCAACCGCUCAUUUCGUAUCCUCUCUUAUCCUCUCACUUUCCCCACAGCCAAAUCAGUAGCUUCUCCACGGCCGGGAGACAUCUCGACGGCGAACGCCGCGACCUCGAUUUGCUACCAUGUCCGCGCAGGAGGGUCCUGGACAUCCCCGCAAGCUGGCUCAUCCGGCUGGUUGUCUUCCUCGGCGAGCGCGUCAUCUCCGUGGUCCUCCGCGCGCGGCGCUCGUCAGCAAACUGCUCACCAUCCCUGCGGCCAUGGCGUCCCUCGCCCAGCGCGGCGCUCGUAGGCCAGCUGCGCGCCGUCCCUAAGGCCGCAGCUUUCGUCGCCCGGCGAGGCGCUCGUGGGCGAGCUGCGGGCCCUCCCUCCUCGGCGGUCACCUUCGUGGCCAUGUUUGCCGCGUUCGUCGCCUCCCUGAGCUUCGUCCCACACGUACAAUAGCACGGCUGGCAAGGCUUGCUGUGGUACAAGUGGAACGGAAAGGAGUGGAAUCUAUGUUGUUUUCCCAUUGCGAACAAGGUGGUUAAUAAUUUCAAUCUUCUGAGUACGCAUUAUCAACUAAUCAGAGGAUUGGGAGAAAACAGUUGGGUCAGAGAAAAAGGAAGAACGCAAUGGAAACAAGAUGGCUUACAUUUGGGGGAUCUGAUUCCUCAUUGGUUCCGGCAAGAAUUGGUGAAGAAGCCAUCAAGCUCCUCCAGCGAGUCCCUUUGUUGGAUCUGUGUUCGUAGAUAGAUUUGAUGAAGAAGCGUAUAGUUUGGUUUGUUUCGUACUCUUGUACGGGAAAAGUUCACCGCCAAUGCUUUUGGCGGGCAAGCCAUAUAUAUUUCCCUCCAAAUCUCUGUUCUGUUACGUUAAUUGCGUUGCCUAGAGAAAGUCCGGAGCGGCCGAUUUUAAUUAAGAGACGGGGCGGCCGGUUUUGAUUAAUUGCUGGGUAUUUUAGGGAAAAGGAGGGCAGAAGCGGGGGGCCGUUGGAUGAGAGCGGAGCACGGAUGGGAGUAUUCUGGUGGAGCAGGCAAGCCCCGUGGAGCGCGCGCUCCCAAGACUCACCCUGAUGAUGUUCAAAAAAGAAGACCCACCCUGAUGUCCAGAUGGUUCUACCUCUCGUUGGCUCAAGCACGGGUGCAUAACUGAACAAAACCGGUAUGAGCUACACAAAAAAAAUGGUAUGCAAUGUUUUCUUAGAGUGGUUUUUUGUAGGUCGGGCUCCAUGCCACCCCUUAUCCUUACCCCUCCAACAUUGCUUCAAGAUCUAUGUUAGCCAUCUAAGAGCAUCUCCAAUAGACUGGUCCAUAUGUAAAAAUAACCAACUUUUGAAGAUGCGAGAAUAAAAUGCGC
rnacentral:rRNA from 1 species